AGAUGGCGACCGGCGCACGGGUGAGUAACACGUAUCCAACCUGCCGAUAACUAGGGGAUAGCCUUUCGAAAGAAAGAUUAAUACCCGAUGGUAUAAUCAGACCGCAUGGUUUGAUUAUUAAAGAAUUUCGGUUAUCGAUGGGGAUGCGUUCCAUUAGGCAGUUGGUGAGGUAACGGCUCACCAAACCUUCGAUGGAUAGGGGUUCUGAGAGGAAGGUCCCCCACAUUGGAACUGAGACACGGUCCAA
rnacentral:rRNA from 1 species